CAAUUUGAAUAAUUAUUCUGUAAAACGAAUUGCGCGAAUGAUCUGAAAUUUUGCACAAACAUUAGUGGUCUAAACCUAAAUCAAAUGAUAUAUUUAUCUGGAAAAAAUAUUUCCAGUCCCAUAUUGUCGAAAAAAAACUCAGUGGAGUCCCUUUAACAUGUAACAUAACAUGUAAUCAACGGGUAAAAUGAAUCAAAUUGCGUCCAUAUACAGCCACGGGUGACCAAUGAAAUCGUGUUUAGCAAAAAUUUAUAUUCUUCGGCAGCAAAGGUAAACAACGCCCACGAUGUAAACCUGUUUCACUUUUCUUGUCAAUAUAAAAGGCAAAACUAUCCCAAAACUAAGUUAUUCCACGAAAGUAUAUUUUUUCUAGAAUUGAUGUUUCACCAAACGUCCCACACAACACCCGGUGCACACAACGAGCGUUUUAAUCUCCUCAUGGAUUCGCGACUCGAUAAAUGUUAAUGGUUCGGCCGUCGGUAUCAGACGAUGGGAUCUGAUGAGGUACCGUAGUUUUUUGCCUGAUUCACAAGGAGUUUCAACGAUCGUUUUGUCAGCUUCCCAGCUCAGCCUGAGCACGUUUGUUAGCCAACGAAGUUUGAACAUUAUCCUUCUUGUAUGUUGUCCGAGCUUUAUGAAAUACACUCGCAAUAAGUAAGUUCUUAUGUAAAUUGGUCCCACCACGUUGUUGUGUGGACAUUGCUAUUUUCCCGCGAGACAGAGCAAUUAAUCGUUGUGCCUCCGUUGAAGAACUCAUUUUGAUCUCUAAUAUUACAUAUGAUAUGUGAAUAUAAUGUUUUGCAGAUGAUGUACUUUGUAAAAUCUUCAUAAAAUUUCAGCUCUGUUCUAAUCAAUCCAAAGAACUAAUUAGUCCAAAUAAUAACUUUCAAAACUUAAAAAUCCUACUGUCUAAGAUCAAUAUCAAUUUAUCUAUAAACACCGCGAAUACAU